rnacentral:lncRNA from 1 species
AGAGCGCGUUGGGCUCUGGAAAGUCUCCAUAAUAAAAUCCAAAGCUUAGAAAAACGCAAGAAACAGAUCAAUUAUUAUUAUUUUAAUUUCAAAGUUGGACAAAGGAUACAUUGAAUAGGGGGGUUACCUCACAAACCUGUAUUUCCCCGCCUCUGGUUUCUUAGCAGGAUGGGAGAGUUGAGAGGACCUGCAGGGACUUCUUGAGCCCUGCCUAGGAUGCGGGCCUGAUUCCAGCCCUCGGGCUCCAGGAGCUGUUUCUCGUCUUCCAUGCCUUUCUGCCAUGCUGCCCUGCCUUGGAGCCAGACGACUAUGAACUUAAGCCUCUACAAACUCUUCCUGUCUCACAGUGGAAUCUCCUGUUCCUGCACACUAUUGCUAUUGUGAUGCCAUCCAUCCUGUGGGCCUUGCCAGGGCAAGCUGAAGACAGUGCCAUGACCUUGAAACUCCAGGAUUUGAAUGAAGUGCCUGUAGCCCUCUUUUGACUUAACAGAGAACACACAAGUCCAUACAUCUGCCUGAAAACAGACCUCAUGUGGAACAUUGCCAGACCAACAUGUUCUUAAGCAAGACUGAUUAUAAUUGCACCCUUCAUGGAGCUAGGGGUUAUCUCCACAAGCCAUAGCAACAAUCUCUGGACUUCAGAUUCAUGAUAAAACUCCCCUGUUAGAAAUAACACUGAUAAUGUCAUAGUCAAAUGAGAUAGAAGAACAUUUUCUAGUGUGUUCAUUUUGCUUUGUUUCAGUUAGUGGAAAAGGG